AAGACUACACUUUCAGGGAUCAUUUCUAUAGUUGUUACUAGAGAAGUUUCUCUGAACAUGAAGAGAUUCUAUUCCUUGAAUCCUGGACCCAUAAAUUCUAGCCAGGGGA
ensembl:snoRNA U3 Small nucleolar RNA U3